UGUUUCUAUACCCAAUUCCCGGAAACAACAAUUACGGAACCGGAUCAACCAUAUCAGGAGAAGGAUGAAAGAAAUUGAAAAAAAUAAGGAAAACGAUGAGGAAUUAGAAGUUCCGGUGAUGUAAAAAACUCAGGUGAAGAAGACGAGUUGAAAAAUUUUGGCCCUAUUUUUUUGUCCUUUGAUGAUGCUCUCAUGGAAUGAUGACAUGGAAUAUUACAUCCGACGUCGUUUUGAAUUGAUGAGGUGACAAGUAAGCCACCAAACGAACAUUUGAUAACUCAGCCAUCAAGCAAAUCUAUAAGUCAGUCGCAACAUGAAUACUAUUACAGUAAUUAAAAAAGGUAAGUCAGCCGUGUAAUGUCGUAACUCAACUAACUCAGCCGUAACUGCAUGCUAUUAUAGUAAUUAAUCUUUUGCACAUAAGUCAGCCGUAACAAGGCUGAGUUAUUUAGUAAUCGAGCUCUUUACAACUGAUUUAUAACACUCGAUCAUAACUCAACUGUCACAUCAUCCCAUAACUAAGCCGUCCAAAAAUAUAACUCAACCGUGUCGAGGUAAUAAGUCAGCCGUUUUCUCAUAACUCGGCCAUAACGUUAUCUGGGUUAUGCUAUAAAUUCUUAUAACUCGGACAACAUUCCUUAACUCAGCCAUACAGUUACCUGAGUUAUCGUAUAACUCAGGCAACAUUUUUUAUAAACCAGCCGUAACGUCCGGCUGAGUUAUACUCAUACUUUGCCGUUUUGUUAUUACUCAUAUAUUUUUGUCGUAAGUCAGCCGCAACAUACCGUAACUCAGCCGUAACUGCCGCUGUAUCGUGUUACGGCUGAGUUCAUUUAAUCCACGUCAGCAAUUUCUGACGUGGCAGUGGCAUUCCUUGUAAUUACGUUUUUUUCGUAAUGUUUAGUAGGAGCACGCUGGGUAUUAAAAAAAAGACGACAAUAUGACAGUAAUAAAACAAAGUUCUGUCUGUUAUUGUAAUAACACCUAAUUUGUAUUCUAUCACAGUAAAUCUCUCUUCAUUUUUUCGUGAAAAUUGUUUUCAAUUUUCUUUAUUUAGUUUAAUGGUUGUAUUUAAAUGGUUUUAUGAAUCAUGUAUCAUAUAACACUUUUAUAAUAU
rnacentral:sRNA from 1 species